AGAGUUUGAUCCUGGCUCAGGACGAACGCUGGCGGCGUGCUUAACACAUGCAAGUCGAACGGAAAGGCCUCUUCGGAGGUACUCGAGUGGCGAACGGGUGAGUAACACGUGGGCAAUCUGCCCUGCACUUCGGGAUAAGCCUGGGAAACUGGGUCUAAUACCGGAUAGGACCUCAAGACGCAUGUCUUCUGGUGGAAAGCUUUUGCGGUGUGGGAUGGGCCCGCGGCCUAUCAGCUUGUUGGUGGGGUGACGGCCUACCAAGGCGACGACGGGUAGCCGGCCUGAGAGGGUGUCCGGCCACACUG
rnacentral:rRNA from 1 species